rnacentral:rRNA from 1 species
CAAUAUUUACAAUGGAGAGUUUGAUCCUGGCUCAGGAUGAACGCUAGCGGCAGGCUUAAUACAUGCAAGGCGAGGGGGCAGCAAUGUCACCGUCGUACGGGUGCGUAACGCGUAUGCAACCUACCUAU